rnacentral:rRNA from 1 species
GAUGAACGCUGGCGGCGUGCCUAAUACAUGCAAGUCGAGCGAACAGAUGAGGAGCUUGCUCCUCUGACGUUAGCGGCGGACGGGUGAGUAACACGUGGAUAACCUACCUAUAAGACUGGGAUAACUUCGGGAAACCGGAGCUAAUACCGGAUAAUAUAUUGAACCGCAUGGUUCAAUAGUGAAAGACGGUUUUGCUGUCACUUAUAGAUGGAUCCGCGCCGCAUUAGCUAGUUGGUAAGUAACGGCUUACCAAGGCAACGAUGCGUAGCCGACCUGAGAGGGUGAUCGGCCACACUGGAACUGAGACACGGUCCAGACUCCUACGGGAGGCAGCAGUAGGGAAUCUUCCGCAAUGGGCGAAAGCCUGACGGAGCAACGCCGCGUGAGUGAUGAAGGUCUUCGGAUCGUAAAACUCUGUUAUUAGGGAAGAACAAAUGUGUAAGUAACUAUGCACGUCUUGACGGUACCUAAUCAGAAAGCCACGGCUAACUACGUG